rfam:Triticum aestivum genome assembly, contig: Triticum_aestivum_CS42_TGACv1_scaffold_159478_2DL
CAUGUACUCCCUCCGUUCCGAAUCACUGGUGGCAGGUACGGAUGUAUCUAGAUGUAUUUUAUUUCUAGAUACAUCCAUUUCUGCUACGAGUAAUUUGGAACGGAGGGAGUACUAC